rnacentral:rRNA from 1 species
GCAGGGGAUAACAUUUGGAAACAGAUGCUAAUACCGUAUAAAUCCUAAAACCACAUGGUUUUAGGCUGAAAGGCGGCUUCGGCUGUCACUUAGAGAUGGACCCGCGGCGUAUUAGCUAGUUGGUGAGGUAAUGGCUCACCAAGGCAAUGAUACGUAGCCGAACUGAGAGGUUGAUCGGCCACAUUGGGACUGAGACACGGCCCAAACUCCUACGGGAGGCAGCAGUAGGGAAUCUUCCACAAUGGACGCAAGUCUGAUGGAGCAACGCCGCGUGAGUGAAGAAGGCUUUCGGGUCGUAAAACUCUGUUGUUGAAGAAGAACACGUUUGAGAGUAACUGUUCAGACGUUGACGGUAUUCAACCAGAAAGCCACGGCUAACUACGUGCCAGCAGCCGCGGUAAUACGUAGGUGGCAAGCGUUAUCCGGAUUUAUUGGGCGUAAAGCGAGCGCAGGCGGUUUUUUAAGUCUGAUGUGAAAGCCCUCGGCUUAACCGAGGAAGUGCAUCGGAAACUGGGAAACUUGAAUGCUGAAGAGGACAGUGGAACUCCAUGUGUAGCGGUGAAAUGCGUAGAUAUAUGGAAGAACACCAGUGGCGAAGGCGGCUGUCUGGUCAGUUAUUGACGCUGAGGCUCGAAAGCAUGGGUAGCGAACAGGAUUAGAUACCCUGGUAGUCCAUGCCGUAAACGAUGAAUACUAGGUGUUGGAGGGUUUCCGCCCUUCAGUGCCGCAGCUAACGCAUUAAGUAUUCCGCCUGGGGAGUACGACCGCAAGGUUGAAACUCAAAGGAAUUGACGGGGGCCCGCACAAGCGGUGGAGCAUGUGGUUUAAUUCGAAGCAACGCGAAGAACCUUACCAGGUCUUGACAUCUUCUGCUAUUUCUAGAGAUAGAAAGUUCCCUUCGGGGACGGAAUGACAGGUGGUGCAUGGUUGUCGUCAGCUCGUGUCGUGAGAUGUUGGGUUAAGUCCCGCAACGAGCGCAACCCUUAUGACUAGUUGCCAGCAUUAAGUUGGGCACUCUAGUAAGACUGCCGGUGACAAACCGGAGGAAGGUGGGGACGACGUCAAAUCAUCAUGCCCCUUAUGACCUGGGCUACACACGUGCUACAAUGGUUGGUACAACGAGUUGCGAACUCGCGAGGGUAAGCUAAUCUCUUAAAGCCAAUCUCAGUUCGGACUGUAGGCUGCAACUCGCCUACACGAAGUCGGAAUCGCUAGUAAUCGCGGAUCAGCAUGCCGCGGUGAAUACGUUCCCGGGCCUUGUACACACCGCCCGUCACACCAUGAGAGUUUGUAACACCCA